AAGUCGUCAUGUGGACAGUCUCUUACCAACUUCUUAAACCUCGCCCAAGCAUCGCUGAGCAAUUCUUCAGUUUCUUGUUCAAAAUUCGUUAUUAAUUUCCUUUUCCU